GACGAACGCUGGCGGCGUGCUUAACACAUGCAAGUCGAACGGAAAGGCCUCUUUCGGGGGGUACUCGAGUGGCGAACGGGUGAGUAACACGUGAGUAACCUGCCCUUGACUUUGGGAUAACUUCAGGCAACUGGGGCUAAUACCGGAUAGGAGCUCCUGCUGCAUGGUGGGGGUUGGAAAGUUUCGGCGGUUGGGGAUGGACUCGCGGCUUAUCAGCUUGUUGGUGGGGUAGUGGCUUACCAAGGCUUUGACGGGUAGCCGGCCUGAGAGGGUGACCGGCCACAUUGGGACUGAGAGACGGCCCAGACUCCUACGGGAGGCAGCAGUGGGGAAUAUUGCACAAUGGGUGGAAGCCUGAUGCAGCAACGCCGUGUGCGGGAUGACGGCCUUCGGGUUGUAAACCGCUUUCGCUCAUGACGAAGCUUUGUGUGACGGUAGUGGGUAAAGAAGCACCGGCUAACUACGUG
rnacentral:rRNA from 1 species